rnacentral:rRNA from 1 species
GUGGUCCCGGAGCGGGGUAGAGGAGGAUAGGGGAGGUCCCGGAGCGGGGCAGAGGAGGAUAGGGGAGGUCCCGGAGCGGGGCAGCCGGGAAUAGGGGUCGUGCCGGAGCGGGGCGGGGGAGGAGAGUGGUGGCGCCGGAACGGAGCGGCGGUUGGGGCGCCUAGAAGGGACCUAGCUGAGACGGCGGAGGUAGGAUGACGGGGUCUCCUAUAGCUCUACACUCGACCAGCUGUGUUAAGCCCUCGUCCGUAUACCUUAACCUAGCUCUAGGUCACGUAGUAGUUCAGCGAGACCCUUCCUCAAGCGUCGAGCGCAUGCACGAGAUGUCCUAGUCGGAUUAGAGAGACAGCGGCGACAACAACCGAACGUUAUCUGGUCUGAUAAAGGUCUCCAUGGUGUUUCACCAACUAAGUUUCAAGCGUGAUAAAUAUAGUGUCCUACCAUGUUUACCUCUUUUUUUAUUCCGGACCUCGAUAUGGGUUUAAAUACGUCGGGUUACUUCACAUAGCGGAACUCGAGGUAAUAAAUCCGGUCUAGAGUACUCUACACAACACUGUUAACGUAACCGUAUGUUAUUCCACAACAUACCACCAACGGAAGAACAUGUACUCGAACGCUGACGCCCUCUAGUGCUGAACAAGAAAACUUAAAAAAACCAAGUAGUGUACUAGGAAGUUCGGUCGGUUCCCCCUCUAGCCACUUCUCCACUUCAUCUUUUACGACGUGCCUUAUCCUCCGUAUAGAAGUUGACCAAACUACGUACAACCUUCUCCAGGACUUUCCCUCAUGCAUGGGGUGAUGCGACUCUAGGCCUGUAUGACAUAAGAGUUGCCGAGGACAAUACUUUGUGAAGACUUGGGACGGACUUGAAUCACACGAUACGUUUAGUACUACAUGACAUUCAUAUUUUAAUGUGCAACAGUCUAAUUUUCUCGUUAAGGAAAACAGAAUACAGACUGGUUUUCUGCACGUUUAAGUCAACUAGAUUGAACACGUGACGGUCCAAACCGUCAUCAGUAUACAUAACCUCUACAACGACCGAUGUCCCCACUACUGUGGCCUCCAUUCCGUCGCGCGGCCCAGCUCCUGCAGCGACUGUGGCCCCCGCUCCCGCCGCAGCACUGCUGCCGCAUAACUCCUCUCAAUCCCGACGUUCCGCCCAGCUCCUGCAGCGCCUCUGGUCCCCGCUCCCAGCGCACGGUUCCCGCCGGCCCGCCCCGCCCCGCCUCGCUCCUGGCGCCCUGCCGCACGGCUGCGCUCCAAGCACCGCACCACCGCAACUAACGCCUCUAUCCCGUAAUAAGCGACCUACCUCAACAAUAGCAACCCUACACAUCCUCGGACCUGCACCCUCAGACGGCCGUCUUGUAAAGCAAACUUGGCAGCUAGAUAAACAUAAUACCAACUACUUUGCACCUGACAACCUACCAUCAAUCACCCAUACUAGCCUGCAGAACCCAUUAGGACACACGUGAAAAAGCACACCUACAUCCCCUUCAUUGCAAACCAGAAAAUUAUCAUCAUAUCUAUAUCUACUUUCAGCGUG